rnacentral:rRNA from 1 species
ACGAACGCUGGCGGCAGGCUUAACACAUGCAAGUCGAGCGCGCCCUUUCGGGGGUGAGCGGCGGACGGGUGAGUAACGCGUGGGAACGUGCCCUUCUCUCUGGAAUAGCCCUGGGAAACCGGGAGUAAUGCCGGAUACGCCGGGCCAUAGCGAUAUGGUUUGGGAAAGAUUUAUCGGGGGAGGAUCGGCCCGCGUCGGAUUAGGUAGUUGGUGGGAUAACGGCCUACCAAGCCGACGAUCCGUAGCUGGUUUGAGAGGAUGACCAGCCACACUGGGACUGAGACACGGCCCAGACUCCUACGGGAGGCAGCAGUGGGGAAUCUUGGACAAUGGGGGCAACCCUGAUCCAGCCAUGCCGCGUGAGCGAUGAAGGCCUUAGGGUUGUAAAGCUCUUUCAGCGGGGAAGAUAAUGACGGUACCCGCAGAAGAAGCCCCGGCUAACUCCGU